ACUGGAUCAUAUUGCCUUAUGACGGCUUUAGCCAAACUUGUGUGAUGAACGAAAUGUAAAAUUAACCGUUAAUUUUCGUUUCAAAAGCAUUUUGCAUCACUUCACGGACAAACUCGUUUCUACUGAGACAUUCUUCUUCUCUUCAGGCAAGCUAACUUGAUAUGCGGGCAUUAUUUGAUAGAGUCGUUUUGGUUUCGAUAUUGCUACUGAUUUCAAAGAAUGUUUAUAGUCUGGUGGCGUACAUCGAGCAAGAAAAAGGUAAAACGUUUCUGUGCAUUCAAUGAAAAUAAUUAUCUAAAUCACUGUAUGAUCUCAAUGCGAGCAAAUUAUUAUUCGGUAUUUGUAUAUAGUAUAACAAUUCCAGAAUGAAACAAUGUCACUGCCUUACAAAUGUGCUGUGUAAGCAGAUAAAUAUAUAUUUGCAUUUUGUUUAUAUUUAAUACGCUCUAUAUGACUAUAUAUGAGAACAAUCCUUUCUGCUUGAUAAUGUUGAUCUUGGAUACGGAAAAUGUCAAAUUUAUAGUGGCAAAAAUCCAAUAGAAAACCAUCCAGAAUUCUAUGAAGUUAAAUGCAGAAAAGGGGAUUUCCCUUUUGCAACUUGUUAACUUACCAUGACGUCAUGCUGACAUUAUUUAACCAUGCUUAUAUUGUCAGCAAAAGUUGGUUGUAAAACAAGUUUUAUAAUAUAUAUUUGCUUUGAUUUGCAAAUUUUUUUGAUUUGCAAAAUUUCGUUUUUUUAAACAAUUAAUUCCCUGAAUUUGAGAUAAUUUGUUAAUUAAAAAGGGGGUUCAUAAUUUAUCUAAGGGAGGGAAGAGGCUAUGGUGAUUUUGAGGUCUCUAUUUUUAAACAG